rnacentral:rRNA from 1 species
UAACGAUACGGGACUCAUCCGAGGCCCCGUAAUCGGAAUGAGUACACUUUAAAUCCUUUAACGAGGACCCAUUGGAGGGCAAGUCUGGUGCCAGCAGCCGCGGUAAUUCCAGCUCCAAUAGCGUAUAUUAAAGUUGUUGCGGUUAAAAAGCUCGUAGUUGAAUCUGUGUGCCACGCUGUUGGUUCAUCGCUCGCGAUGUUUAACUGACAUGAUUGUGGGACGUCCUACCGGUGGGCUUAGCCUCGGUCAAACGAGGCGGUCCAGUUUUAUCCUGUUUCGGUGCUCUUUAUCGAGUGUCGAGGUGGGCCGGUACGUUUACUUUGAACAAAUUAGAGUGCUCAAAGCAGGCUAUGUUCGCCUGAAUAUAAUUGCAUGGAAUAAUGGAAUAGGACCUCGGUUCUAUUUUGUUGGUUUUCGGAACCCCGAGGUAAUGAUUAAUAGGGACAGAUGGGGGCAUUCGUAUUGCGACGUUAGAGGUGAAAUUCUUGGAUCGUCGCAAGACGGACAGAAGCGAAAGCAUUUGCCAAAAAUGUUUUCAUUAAUCAAGAACGAAAGUUAGAGGUUCGAAGGCGAUCAGAUACCGCCCUAGUUCUAACCAUAAACGAUGCCAGCUAGCGAUCCGCCGAAGUUCCUCCGAUGACUCGGCGGGCAGCUUCCGGGAAACCAAAGCUUUUGGGUUCCGGGGGAAGUAUGGUUGCAAAGCUGAAACUUAAAGGAAUUGACGGAAGGGCACCACCAGGAGUGGAGCCUGCGGCUUAAUUUGACUCAACAC